UACGUAGGUGGCAAGCGUUGUCCGGAAUUACUGGGCGUAAAGGGCGCGUAGGCGGCCUUCUAAGUCGGACGUGAAAUCCCUCGGCUUAACCGAGGAACUGCGUCCGAUACUGAAAGGCUUGAAUCCGGGAGAGGGAUGUGGAAUUCCCAGUGUAGCGGUGAAAUGCGCAGAUAUUGGGAGGAACACCAGUGGCGAAGGCGGCACUCUGGGCCAGUACUGACACUGAGGAGCGAAAGCGUGGGUAGCGAACAGG
rnacentral:rRNA from 1 species